UGGGGGAAGUCUUCCGCAAUGGGCGAAAGCCUGACGGAGCAACGCCGCGUGAGUGAAGAAGGUCUUCGGAUCGUAAAGCUCUGUUGAGAGGGACGAGAGAUUACUUCAGGAAAUGGGAGUAAGAGGACGGUACCUUUCGAGGAAGCCACGGCUAACUACGUGCCAGCAGCCGCGGUAAUACGUAGGUGGCGAGCGUUGUCCGGAAUUAUUGGGCGUAAAGGGAGCGCAGGUGGGACUUCAAGUCAGUCUUAAAAGUGCGGGGCGUCAACCCCGUGAUGGGAGUUGAAACUGUAGUUCUUGAGUACUGGAGAGGUUGACGGAAUUCCUAGUGUAGCGGUGAAAUGCGUAGAUAUUAGGAGGAACACCAGUGGCGAAGGCGGUCAACUGGACAGCAACUGACGCUGAGGCGCGAAAGCGUGGGGAGCAAACAGGAUUAGAUACCCUGGUAGU
rnacentral:rRNA from 1 species